AUUGUAAAGUCAGAUGCACUUUUUCACUCCACCACUUCCAUUUUCUGAAAUUACACAAAUAUCCAUUGAGUAUUUAUAAAGACAAAUAUCAAA